CUUCAGACUGCCCUCUCAUUUGCGCACAAGCGGCAAAUGCAAUGAUCAAUGGCCAACUGCCAAUGAUCAACUAACGAAGCAAAAUUCUUAAGUUUGAAACUUGGGAGUUGAAGACUUAGUUGAAUCUUGAAACUUGAUUUGUUCGCUUGCGAACAGGUGAGAGGGAGGAAGGCGGGGAUGACGUCAAAUCAGCAUGGCCCUUUGACACCUUGGGCUACACACGUGCUACAAUGGCCGGAAUAAAGGGUCGCCAAAUCGCAAGAUGGAGCUAAUCCCAAAAAUUCGGUCUCAGUUCGGAUUGAAGGCUGCAACUCGCCUUCAUGAAGCUGGAAUCACUAGUAAUCGUGAAUCAGCCACGUCACGGUGAAUGCGUUCUCGGAUCUUGUACUCACAAUAAAAGCGCCGGGCAGCUUGUUAUUCUAAGGAGUUCAAAUCUCCUCCUCC
rnacentral:ncRNA from 1 species